GCGCGGGUGGUGGAAUUGGUAUACACGAGAGACUUAAAAUCUCUUGGCUUUAUGGCCUUGCGGGUUCAAGUCCCGCCCCGCGCACCA
rnacentral:tRNA from 1 species